AGAGUUUGAUCCUGGCUCAGGACGAACGCUGGCGGCGUGCCUAACACAUGCAAGUCGAACGGGGAUUUUGUUUCGGCAGAAUCCUAGUGGCGAACGGGUGAGUAACGCGUAGGCAACCUGCCCUCCGGCCGGGGACAACACUCCGAAAGGGGUGCUAAUACCGGAUACGAAGUCUGUGCCGCAUGGUACGGAUUUGAAAGAUGGCCUCUAUUUAUAAGCUAUCGCCGGGGGAUGGGCCUGCGUCCGAUUAGCUGGUUGGUGGGGUAACGGCCUACCAAGGCGACGAUCGGUAGCCGGUCUGAGAGGAUGAACGGCCACAUUGGGACUGAGACACGGCCCAGACUCCUACGGGAGGCAGCAGUGGGGAAUCUUCCGCAAUGGGCGCAAGCCUGACGGAGCAACGCCGCGUGAGUGAGGAAGUUCUUCGGAACGUAAAGCUCUGUUGUUCCUGACGAACCUCCCCUCUAUCAACAACGGAGGGGACUGACGGUAGGGAACGAGGAAGCCACGGCUAACUACGUGCCAGCAGCCGCGGUAAUACGUAGGUGGCAAGCGUUGUCCGGAAUUAUUGGGCGUAAAGCGCAUGUAGGCGGUAAUUUAAGUCUGUCGUGAAACUGCGGGGCUCAGCCCCGUAUGGCGAUGGAAACUGGGUUACUUGAGUGCAGGAGAGGAAAGGGGAACUCCCAGUGUAGCGGUGAAAUGCGUAGAUAUUGGGAAGAACACCGGUGGCGAAGGCGCCUUUCUGGACUGUGUCUGACGCUGAGAUGCGAAAGCCAGGGUAGCGAACGGGAUUAGAUACCCCGGUAGUCCUGGCCGUAAACGAUGGGUACUAGGUGUGGGAGGUAUCGACCCCUUCCGUGCCGGAGUUAACGCAAUAAGUACCCCGCCUGGGGAGUACGGCCGCAAGGCUUAAACUCAAAGGAAUUGACGGGGGCCCGCACAAGCGGAGGAACAUGUGGUUUAAUUCGAUGAUACGCGAGGAACCUUACCCGGGCUUGAACUGCAGGAGAAGGAUACAGAGAUGUUGACGUCCUUCGGGACUCCUGUGGAGGUGCUGCAUGGUUGUCGUCAGCUCGUGCCGUGAGGUGUCGGCUUAAGUGCCAUAACGAGCGCAACCCUUUUCGUCAGUUGCCAUCAGGUGAUGCUGGGCACUCUGGCGAUACUGCCACCGUAAGGUGUGAGGAAGGUGGGGAUGACGUCAAAUCAGCACGGCCCUUACGUCCGGGGCUACACACGUGUUACAAUGGGGAGUACAGAGAGUUGGUUGUACGCAAGUACGGUCUAAUCAUGAAAGCUCUCCUCAGUUCGGAUUGGGGUCUGCAACCCGACCCCAUGAAGCUGGAUUCGCUAGUAAUCGCGCAUCAGCCAUGGCGCGGUGAAUACGUUCCCGGGCCUUGUACACACCGCCCGUCAAGCCAUGAAAGCCGGGGGCGCUUGAAGUCCGUGACCGCAAGGAUCGGCCUAGAGCGAAACUGGUAAUUGGGGCUAAGUCGUAACAAGGUAGCC
rnacentral:rRNA from 1 species